GUUUAUUGCUCACACAAAGCCUGUUUGGUGGUCUCUUCACAUGGACAUGCAUAACAUUUGGUGCCAAAGACCUGGGACAGGGGACUCCUUCAGGAGACUCAUCCCGGGUCCUCACCCUCACUCCGUGAGGAGAUCACCUAUGACCUUGGGUCCUCAGACCAGCCAAAGGAACAUCUCACCAAUUUUAAAUCAGGUAAGUGGCCUCUUUUUGUUCUCUUCUCCAGCCUGUCUUGUUAGCCCUCCACCCUUCAAUCUCUCCCUUCCUUAAUUUUGGUUCCUUUCCUUUUCUGGUAGAGACAGAGGAGACACGUUUUAUCCAUGAACUCAAAACUCCGGCAACAGUCAUGGACUUGGGAAGACAGUCUUCCCUUGGUGUUUAAUCACUGUGGGGAUGCCUGCCUUGAUCCUUCACCUUGGUGGCAAGUACCACCUUCCCUGGGUGGCAAGACCACCUCCCCCCACACUGUGUCUCUAUCCUCUCUUUUCUCUAAACUCACCUUUUAACUAUGGGCAAACUUCCACCCUCCAUUCCUCCUUCUUCUCCCUUACCCUGUGUUCUCAAGAACUUACACCUCUUCAACUCACACCUGACCUAAAACCUAAAUGCCUUAUUUUCUUCUGCAAUACUGCUUGGCCCCAAUACAAACUUGACAAUGGUUCUAAAUGACCAGAAAAUGGCACUUUUGAUUUCUCCAUCCUACAAGAUCUAGAUAAUUUUUGUCGAAAAAUGGGCAAAUGGUCUGAGGUGCUUGACAUCCGGGCAUUCUUUUACACAUUGGUCCCUCCCUAGUCUCUGCUCCCAAUGCAACUUGUCCCAAAUCUUUCUUCCUUCUCUCCUGUCUGUUCCUUCAGUUUCCACCCCAAGCUCUGAGUCCUUUGAAUCCUCCUUUUCUACAAACCCAUCUGACCUCUCCCAGCCUCCCCAGGCUGCUCUUCACCAGGCCGAGCAAGGUCCCAAUUCUUCCUCAGCCUCUGCUCCCUCACCCUAUAAUCCUUCUAUCACUUCCCCUCCUCACACCUGUUCCAGCUUACAGUUUCGUUCUGUGACUAGCUCUCCCCAACCUGCCCAACAAUUUCCUCUUAGAGAGGUGGCUGGAGCUAAAGGCAUAGUCAAGGUUAAUGCUCCUUUUUCUUUAUCCAGCCUCUCCCAAAUCAGUUAGCAUUUAGUCUCUUUUUCAUCAAAUAUAAAAACCUAGUCCAGUUAAUGGCCUGUUUGGCAAGAACCCUUAGAUGCUUUACCGCUCUAGACCCAGAGGGGCCAGAAGGCCGUCUUAUUCUCAAUAUGCAUUUUAUUACCCAAUCUGCUCCCAACGUUAGAAAAAACUCCAAAAAUUAUAUUCCGGGCCUCAAGCCCCACAAUAGGACUUAAUUAACCUCUCCUUCAAGGUGUACAAUAAUAGAGAAGAGGCAGCCAAGCAGCAAUGUAUUUCUGAGUUACAAUUACUUGCCUCUGCUGUGUGAGAGAGAAACCCCAGCCACAUCUCCAGCACAAAAGAACUUCAAAACAUCUAAACCACAGUGGCCAGGCAUUCCUCCAGGACCUCCUCCCCCAGGAUCUUGCUUCAAAUGCUGGAAAUCUGGCCACUGGGCUAAAGAAUGCCCAGCCUGGGAUUCCUCCUAAGCCAUGUCCCAUCUGUGUGGGAACCCACUGGAACCAGCUCACCCGGCAGCCACUCCCAGAGCCCCUGGAACUCUGGCCCAAGGCUCUCUGACUGACUCCUUCCCAGAUCUUCUCGGCUUAGCGGCUGAAGACUGACGCUGCCUGAUCACCUCAGAAGCCUCCUGGACCAUCACAGAUGCUUUGGGUAACUCUUACAGUGGAGGGUAAGUCCACCUCCUUCUUAAUCAAUAUGGAGGCUACCCACUCCACAUUACCUUCUUUUCAAGGGCCUGUUUCCCUUGCCUCCAUAACUGUUGUAGGUAUUGAUGACCAGGCUUCUAAGCCUCUUAAAACUCCCCAACUCUGGUGCCAACUUGGACAACAUUCUUUUAUGCACUCCUUUUCAGUUAUCCCCACCUGCCCAGCUCCCUUAUUAGGUCGAGACAUUUUAACUAAAUUUUCUGCUUCCCUGACUAUUCCCGGGUUUUGGCACCAAAUGUCAUGUCUGUCUGUGUGAAGAGAGUCUACCAACAGACUUUGUGUGAGCAACAAGGCUGUUUAUUCACUUGGGUGCAAGUGGGCUGACUCCUUUCUCGGACUCAGCCCAUUUGCACCCAAGUGAAUAAACAGCCUCGUUGCUCACACAAAGCCUGUUGAUGGACUCUCUUCACACAGACGUGCAUGACAUUUACAUAUUAGACCUGAAACUGGUAGUCCUCAAUUCUUCUGUGUUUAACAUUUAUGAUUGUCUAGGUGAAGAUGUAAAGAAUUUGGUCAGCCAGUUGAAGAUGAAUUAAACCAAUAAGAACAGUGACAAUAUAAGGUGGCAAAUUUGUGAUACUAUUAAACUGGAUAAUGACAUGAAUUUAACCAAAUGUAUCAUAUGAAGGAUAACUUUAAGUUCCUGCUUUGGUUUCAAAACAUAUCUUUCAUGGAUAGGAAAGAGGAGCGGAUCCUAACAAUGACAUCCAUGGAAAUGAUGUGGAGCUCUGAGUCAUCAUUUUGGUUAUCAUGAGUCAAGAGUGGGGAUCAGCUUCCAAUAUAAUUAAAGUAUCAGUUUGCCAAAGUGCUCAUAUCAGAGGCGUGUGAACCAGAGCAACUGCAUCUUAAAUAGGAGCUGGGUAAAAUGAAGCUGAAACCUACUGAGCUGCAUUCUCAGACGGUUAGAUGGUUAAGGCUUUCUAAGUCACAGGCUUUCUAAGUCAUAGGAGGUCAGCACAAAAUACAGGUUAUAAAGACCUUGCUGAUAAAACAGGUUGCAGGAAAGGAGCUGGCCAAAACCCACCAAAACUAAACUGUCUAUGAGAAUGACCUCUGGUCGCCCUCACUACUACACUCCCACCAGAGCCAUGACAGUUUACAAAUGCCAUGGCAACAUCAGGAAGUUACCCUAUAUGGUCUAAAAAGGGGAGGCAUGAAUAAUCCACCCCUUGUUGAGCAUAUCAUCAAGAAAUAACCAUAAAAAUAGGCAACCUGCAGCCCUCAGGGCUGCUCUGUCUAUGGAGCAGACAUUCUUUUAUUCCUUUACUUUCUUAAUAAACAUGCUUUCACUUUGCCUUGAGGACUUGCCCUGAAUUCUUUCUUGAGAGAAAUCCAAUAACCCUCUCUUAGGGUCUGGAUUGGGACCCCUGUCCUGUAACACUUAUAGGUAUUAAACAAGAAAAAGACCCAAUCUCAAAUACACUGGGUUAAACCUUUCUUUAAUGAAGGACUUUUUAGAAACUUUCAUUGCUCAAUUUCAUCCAUGCUUUUUCAAGUGGAUAAAGAACCUGUAUUAUUUUUCAAAUUUAUUUGACCAUAGAUCUGUUUUGGAAUUCUUGUUCUGGAAUUUAACAAUUAUGAAAACACUAGGCAAGAUACAUAACCUCUGAGAAUCUUAGUUUGCUUAUUUAUAGAAUGGAAAUAAUGAUUCUUAUUUCACAGUCUUGCUGUGAAAAUUAAAUAAGGAUAAGGUUAAAAACACGCCACAGUGCUGGGCAAAUAAACAGUGCUGAGUAGAUGUUGUUGUUUUUUUUUAAGUUUUUUUUUCUAUUGGUUUCUGGACAAAACCUUUAAAAGGAUAUUUAGGAAUGAGUCCUACUUAUUUAGCAACUGGUAUGACUUGGGCAUUUACCAAUGAAAAAGGACAUUGGUCCAGGAACAACCCUUGGUUAUUGAUCCUAAUGAUGUCAGGAGGGUCCCAAGUGAUGGACACUUGGUGAGAGAAUUAGAACUAUAGCUUUUUAUCAACUUUAGUAAAACCAUUUCCAUAUUUUAAUUCAUAUUAUAUCUAUCCCAGUAUGUAUCUGUCCACUAUCAGCCUUGUAUAUAGGCAAAUAAGAGUAUGUUCAGAGAAGAAUGUUUAAUGGGGUGAAGAUACGCACUGUAAAGGUAUAUGAGGAUCUGCUAAAGGAAACAGAGAUGUUUAUUCCAGAAAGGAGAAGACUUGGGGGAAGGGGGUGGGCAUGAAAGCUGUCUUCAAAUAUCUGUCUUCAAAUAUUUGAUUGUCAGGUGGAAGACAGGCUAGACUCAUUCUGUGUGUCUCCAAAGGGUUCAAUCAAGAACAAUCAACGUGUGAAAGAUUUAGGGCAUGAAAGUUCAGCUCUACACAAGUAAAAGUUUUCAGAACUCAGAGUAGUUCAAAGAAUAGCUGCCCCCAUCAAGUGCUGAAUUCCCCAUUAUUUUAAGAUGUUCAAAAAGGCAAUAGUCAAAUGCCUGGAAUGGAUGUUGUAGAGAAGAUACAAUUACAGUUAGUCAGUUUUAUAGACUCAACUGAAAGAUCCCUUAAUCCCUGAGCAUCUUUGGUUCUAUGACCAAAAGAUGGAGGUUCUUAGUAGUAAUUCUCUCACUUCUGUAAACUAUAUGCAUUAUGUUGAGUUUAUUUCCAUCUUUAGCCAUAAAAAAGAGAGUUUUAAAAUGCCGAGAUUUGCCUUAAUUCUACACAUAAACAUAUUUUAUUUACAUAUUAAUACCAGUUACUUUAGUAAAGAAGGAACCAAAGGAGCAUAAGAAAGAUUCAGAGACAUACAGAGAAAGAAGGAUGAGAGAAACCUAGAAAAAGGAGGGAAGCAGGCAGAGAGAAGUUCUCUUAUAUUUUCCUGGCUCCCUUGACUAAUCUUCAUGCCUUCACUGCUGCCUCAUGAAAUUUUCCACCUCUAAGAAAUCUGGGUUUUUCAUCUAUAAAAGGAAGCAGUUGGGUGUGAUACUUUAUUCAUUCAACAAACAUUUAUGAAGUACAAACUUGAUAAGCAGGCACUGUGCUAGCUCUCUGUGUGUGAUGCAAAGGCACAGGUCUUUGCUCACCCUCAGCUUCUCUAAGCCCAUGUCAUGUCAAUGACAACACGUCUGUGAUCCUGGGCUGCCAGGUGUUGCCUUUGAACAGCUCACAGUUGCAUUCAGCCUGAAACGGUUUGCUUCAAUCAUCUCAAAUGAAUGGCUGGUUGUGAAAGGGCUGUGAAACCUGGAACAUGCCAUCUGCAUGCAUAUUAUUAUUAUCCGAAAGUCUGUGCAGAAGGAGCAUGGGGGCUUAGACAUGGGAAAGAAAACAAAUCACUUUUGAAUUGCCACAAAUUUUUUCUUAGGAAUGACUGUGAGUUCUGAUUCCUGCCAUUCUCUUACUCCUUUUCCUCUCUUCCCUCAGGAUUUUGGAUGGAAAAAGUGGCAAGUCACUCCUUAAAAUUGGUUACAAAAGUCUGCCAUAGGCAUGAAUUUUAUUCUUAGCUAUAAAAAUCUCAUGAGAACAUAGCCUGGGAGAUGCUACCCAUUAAGUGAUAUUUCUUAUUGUAGAUGGUAAAAAUGAGCUGUAACCUUUAGGCUUUCUGGUGCAUGUUAUUAAUUUCUCUCAAAAAUGGCCUUUUAUAGAGGUUGUGAUAUUAUUAAAAAAGAAGCAGAGACCAUCCUAAUCAAGAUAAACUAAAACAACAACAACACACACACACAAACACACACACACACACAAUGGUAGAAUGCAUCAGAAAGAUAGUCAGUGACUGCCAUAUUAGUUACCUUUUCUCCCAGGGCUACCAUUAAAUAGAAAAGCACUACAGAAAAGUUGGCCCCUUAUAUGGAAGAGUUCUGUGUGAUUUGGUGAGACAGUGAAUUUUGCUAUACUUUUAAUGAAGUACAGAUUUGUGUUUAGGAGCAUAGGCUCUGAAGCUGGACUUCUUUGAUUCAAAUUCUGGCUUUGUCCCUUUCUAUAUAGAUGACUUAGGCAAGGAGCUUAAACUUUCUGUGCCUCAAUUUUCUCAUUUAUAAAAUGAUGAGAAUAAGAGUACCUGCCUCAAAAAGUUGUUGUAAAGAUUAAAGCGCUGUUGUAUGAAAAGCUCUUUGACCAAUGCUUGACAUAUAAUAAGUGCUAGAUGUGUGUGUUAUUAUUAAUUAUUCUUAGAAGUUUAUUGUCACAAGGCUUUAAGUUCUUAAGUAAUAUGAAUGAAAAAAUUUUGUCUUCCAAGAGAGUUGCUGUCUUUCAUUUAUCUUUGGAUUGAAAAUUAUAAAGUGUAGCAUUGCUUAUUAGGAUUUGUACUAGAAUCACCUGCGCACUUGUUUAUAAUGCACAUUCUGGUCUGCAACAAAAUCAGAAUAUCUGGGAGGGUAGUCUAGAAAUGUGUAUUUUAAAUCAGAUGCCCAGAGGAUUCUGAGGCAAAUUGGAAUUUGAAGACAAUGGAGUAAAGCAAGCAUGGCUGUGUUAGCUUAAUCACAGCAACAAUUCAGUUUCUGGAGGGUAAAUUAUGCACCAGCCACUGGGCUCUUGGGAUAUGAUCUUAUUAAAUCCUCACAAGAGGCCUCUGAGGGCAGGUUCUAUUAUGAGCUCAGUAUUUCAGAUCAGAAAUUGUGGCUUUCACAAUAUCUGGGUUAAAUGAUUUGCUCAAGAUCUGCUGGUGAAGGGCACAUCAGGAAUGGAAUUGGGUCUACCUGUUCAGAACUGGUAUUCCUAAACAUUCUGAACAUUUUACAUCCUGUCUGAACCCAAGCUCCUCCUGUAUUGAGGCUUUCUGUUUUGGGGAAUGUGACGCAUAAUAUUCACCUCCCAGUUAGUCAAGGAUGACACAGAUCCACCUCCACACGAAUAAUAUAAUAGCCAAUGUAUAUUUUCCUGAGCAGGGGCUGUCCGUAAACAGCCAGGAGGGUGGGUGAAGAGCAAAGACUGGGAGAACCAUCUUCUGUUGGGUCAUAGUUUAUUUCAUUUUCUAACAUCAACUCUGCCAGUAGGGGGCGUCUGCUAAAUCGACACCACAAUUCUAUGCCGUAGGAAGCUCGAUCCUUAGACUCUGAAUCCCUAAUAUUUUUUUUAAACAGAUAGAAACAGAUUUAUACAGGAAGAAUGGAAAAUAGGGCAAGGGAUAUGUUCAGAUAAAUGUACUGUCACACUCUAAUGCUGGAAACCUCUAAUUAUUGCCAACUCAAAGCAUAUUUAUAUAACAUAAACCAUGAACCAGGUGCUAUGCUUGUCUAUACUGAAAUGCAAAAAUGAAUCACACAAAGUCUGCAAAGACCUGAAAAUAUAUUAAUAAGUGGCACUGUUACUAUUAUUCACCUCUCACUAGGUGUCAGGCACUGUACCAGAUGAGCUACAUAUAUUUUGUCAUGCAAUUUAAUCCUUUUAAAAACUCCACAAAGUAGGCAUUUUUCAGAUGCCCUGAGGCUCUGAAAAUUUAAAAAAUUGCCUAAGUUCAGGUAGCUUUUCAGUGGCAGAACUGAGAUUUAAUCUGAGGUCUUUCUAUUGCAAUAUAAUAUUUUCUGGUAACAAAGUAAGACAAUUGCAUAAAUUAUAAUGCAAGGCCAAAUAAUGAGGUAUCAUUAAAACAACAUAAACAUAAAUUACUAAGGUGGCUCAAAGAAAAGUACAAGUAGAGCCUUUGGGUAAAAGUGUCAUGAAGUAUAUAGUAGAGGAUGUAAUGUAUGAGCUGGGCCUUGAAAUGUGGCCCUGGCUUUGGUAGAGACAGUGAGAAGGAUCCUAGGUGAUGGUGAGGAGGCAGGCAUUCCAGACAUGAGGAAAUAAUAAGCCAAGACAUGGAAAUGGAAACCAUGUUUGGAGAUACAAAAGAGUUCACUGUGGCAAGGGUAGAAUAAAGGGACUGGACAAUUUGGAUGAUAAACCUAAAUGGUAGUUAGAUCCUGUUAUAAGGAGUUUGUACUUAAUAUGACAAGCAAUGGUAGAAAGGAAAAAGCUGAGUUUUUAAGUGUGUCUGUGUGUCGGGGAGCGGGGAGGAAUUUGGGCAAGUAGUGAAUCUUUAAAAAAAUUUUUUUUUAUCAAACACUAUGAACCAGAUAAUGUGCUAUCAGAUUUAUAAUAAUAUCUUAAUUAUUCUUUUCUGACCUUGUUUAGAAGCUUGCUGUCAGAAUAUAUUAAUCUGGUGGUUGUGGGAAUGAUGGAUGUAGGUGGGGAGAAGGGGAUUAGAGAUUAAAAGUGGGAGACCAGUUAGAUGACUAUUACAAUGGUGCAGAUGAGCAAUUCUGAGAGCUUACAUUUCAGUUAUUGGGUAGAUCCCACUAAGUGUGCUGCUCUUCCCACGCUUCUCUGAGUGGCAUGACUCCUGAAGAGCAUUUCUUUUCUGGCUUCAAGUUCUUGGUGGUGAGUAAGCUAAUUAUGGGGUAUAGGUUUAAAAAUCAUUGUUCUCCUCAUCUAAAAUGUCACUAGAAUCUGCACAGCUGUCCAAUGUUCCUUUCUUGAAUUCAACACAAAAUCUUGACAAGAGAUCCUGAUAUAUCUGCACUUAUUUUACUCACGGAGAGCGUAUGAAUUUUUCCUACUUACCCUGAGACAAAGUUUACUCAGCUAAAUUUUCAAAGAUAUCCUAGGAGAAAUUGUAUUUGUUCAUAGUCCUAUUACUAUCACUUUCUCACAAAAGCAGGCUCACAGCAGACUUGCUUUCUCUUUUUUUUUUCCUUAAGGAAAAAUGUGUUUAAUUAUUUUCUUGCCUUUCUCCUCUGAAAAACAACAUGUUGCCUUAACUGCUAGUGACAUUCAAAAUAGUUUGGGAGGAAUGACGCUGACAGUGAUAUCACUUUCCUACAGUUCUGCUUCCCCAGGCGGACUGAAAAUGCUUUCAAACUACCAAAGAGCGUGUAUGCAUAUAUAAUUCAAAAUUCUCUUUCUGUGGUUUUAUAAAUACCCACACAAAUUCCAUUUCUAUCUAUUUAACACUUACGGAGUCUCCAUGAAUAGAGAAACCAUUCUUUCUAUUUAAAAUGCAUCAAGAAAUAUCCCAUUGUAAGUAAAACAGAAUUAUAAUUGCCUAACUAAAAGCUAUAGAGAGCCCAGUCCACUGGGGACACUCCUUUAUCCAUUUACGAUGAUAUACUCUUAAAAUUAUGGCCAAGAGAGUGAGAUGAUUUUAUUUUAUGGGAAUUUAGCCUUUCUUACGUGUACAAUUGCUCUGCAACAGUUUAAAACACAAUUCAUUCUCUACUGCAUGGAUUCUUGUGAGAUACAGAUCUAUAGGUCAAGGUCUACAGAGUCACCCCACUAUUUUAUACUCUCAUAGGAUCAGUUUCUACCAAGUCCAUGCAUUGGGAUGUUUGUAGUGGUCACGGGCUGGUGCUCACACAUGAAUCUCAAUCAAAGAUGAGAAGGUGAAGCUGUGUUACUUACCUGUGUGUGUAUAAUUAGGGGGAAUAGAUGCCACUCACCAUUGUUUUCCAUGAACCCCUACCACAAGCCAUUCUAAAGGAUGCCAAUGACUGAAGCUUUCCCCAGGACUACAGGAAGGAACAGGACUGAAAUCAUAUUAGAUGUGAACUCCAUAUCAAUGGGCCAGUGUUGGGAGCAGGCACAUCUCUGCAGCUACACUGCUUCUUACUGAGUAAAAAGAGCUCUUCAGGAAUCUAACCCUAGACCAUCUCAGAAUCUGAAUUUUAGAAUUUGGCUUGUAAAAAGAUCCAUGAAUAUGUAGAUGAGGCAUGUGUAUCUUAUUCCUUCAGGAGACUUUCCUUCUCAAAUAGCAAUAAAAAUAAUAUCAUGUAUCCACAGGUCUGUACCAUCUGCCAGUCCUGUGCUAGGUACCUUGUGCCUAUUAACUUUCAUUGUUUUGCUGCAAGGUGUGUGUCAUCAGCCAUUCAAAAAGAAGAAAUGAGUCAGGUGGGUUAAGUGACUUUCCAAAGCUACAUGACUAGGAGUAAUAAUAAUAGUAAUUAACAGUAGUAGUAACAGUAGCACAAUAAAAACACUUAUCGAAAGAACACCUACUAUGCCACAUUGUGCUAGAUGCUGUCCCUGGACUAAUUCAUUUCAUUUUUACAGCAGUCCUAAGAAGUAUAUCAUAUUAUUAUCCACCUUUAACAGAUGAGGGAUCUGAGUUUGUUAAUGUGGUGGGCAUCUGCUACCUUUUUGUUUGUUUAUUUUGUUUGUUUGCCCUACAGUCUCUCAUUUUCUAUGCCCAUUUUUCUGCUCAGUGGUGGACACUGUCCUAGACCUGGACAAUUGGAAUAUUCUCUCCUUUGUAGUCACAGCAUCUGGCUCAGGGAUUAGCUCAUAUCCCAAACUAGCUCAGUGAGGGCCAUUCCAGGGACUUGGGCUGAAAUUAAUGAGAAAGAAAGGUUCCUUUCUUUUGCACCACUAGUUAUCUUGAUAAUGCAAGCUUAGGGUUGCCAGAGGAAUAUUUGCCAUGACCUAGGGAGAAUCUACUUGAGAAAACUCCAAUAUAAAAGAAAAUAGAACAAUGAAAGCGGUGAGAGAGAAAGACAGGCAGAGAAAGAGAGACAGAGAGAACUUCUCAGAAGCCAGAUUAAGUCCCAUUUCUGUUUAAUCUGUUUUGGAUUAAAUCUCUUUCACUGUCAACCAAUGAAACAUUGCAUACAAAAAAUGGACACCAAGGAUGGGAUGCAGAUUAUGGAUCCAAGGAUGGGUUGGCUCAUUAGAGGAGCAAUGGGAAGCAGUAUAAAUUCACCCAUCCCUAUUUGUGAAAGCUGACCAUAAUUACUAUAAACUGUCUUCUGGAAUCUUGAUUCAAACCACUUCCUACUGAAGGUUAAAUUUUAGAGACUUGUUAGAAAAAUAUCAGGAUGCUGGAGGGUUUGUGAUUUUCUUAUACCUUUUAUAAACUGUUACAAGUAAGUUUCAGUCAAACCUGGACUGUCAGAAAGCUGAGAGAGAAAAUACAACCUUGCAAAGAGAGGUUUUUUCAGUGAACAUAAAGCAAUCCAAGAUACUUGAGAUUCAAAAAUACAUAUCCUGUAAAAAGUUGGAAAAGCUAAAUUUUCUGGCCUUUGCCAGUCCACGAAAAUGAAGGCAGAGGCCGGGCAAGGUGGCUCACGCCUGUAAUCCCAGCACUUUAGGAGGCCGGGGCGGGCAGAUCACAAGGACAGGAGUUUGAGACCAGCCUGACCAACAUGGUGAAACCCUGUCUCUACUAAAAAUACAAAAAUUAGCUGGGCGUGGUGGUGUGCACCUGUAAUUUCA
rnacentral:lncRNA from 1 species